rnacentral:rRNA from 1 species
CUACGGGUCGCAGCAGUGAGGAAUAUUGCACAAUGGGGGGAACCCUGAUGCAGCAACGCCGCGUGGAGGAUGACGCAUUUCGGUGUGUAAACUCCUUUUAUAUGUCAAGAAAAUGACGGUAGCAUAUGAAUAAGCACCGGCUAACUCCGUGCCAGCAGCCGCGGUAAUACGGAGGGUGCAAGCGUUACUCGGAAUCACUGGGAGUAAAGGACGCGUAGGCGGGUUGGAAAGUCAGGCGUGAAAUCCUACAGCUUAACUGUAGAACUGCACUUGAAACUUCUAAUCUAGAGUAUGGGAGGGGGAGAUGGAAUUAGUGGUGUAGGGGUAAAAUCCGUAGAUAUCACUAGGAAUACCUAAAGCGAAGGCGAUCUCCUGGAACAUUACUGACGCUAAGGCGUGAAAGCGUGGGGAGCAAACAGGAUUAGAUACCCUAGUAGUC